UCCCUGGUGGCUCAGAGUUUAAAGCGUCUGCCUGGAAUGCAGGAGACCCAGGUUCGAUCCCUGGGUAGGGAA
rnacentral:tRNA from 1 species